GACGAACGCUGGCGGCGUGCCUAACACAUGCAAGUCGAACGAGGUCCAUCCGGUGGCAACACCGGGGAAGACCUAGUGGCGAACGGGUGAGUAACACGUGAGGAACUUGCCCCGGAGACCGGGAUAACUCUCCGAAAGGAGAGCUAAUACCGGAUACCUCCACCGAGUCGCAUGGCUGGGUGAAGAAAUGGAUUCCGCUCCGGGAGAGCCUCGCGGCCUAUCAGCUUGUUGGUGGGGUAACGGCCCACCAAGGCGUCGACGGGUAGCUGGUCUGAGAGGACGAUCAGCCACACUGGGACUGAGACACGGCCCAGACUCCUACGGGAGGCAGCAGUGGGGAAUCUUGCGCAAUGGGCGAAAGCCUGACGCAGCAACGCCGCGUGCGGGAUGAAGGCCUUCGGUUGUAAACCGCUUUACAGUGGGCACGAAGCCAAGA
rnacentral:rRNA from 1 species